AGUGAACGCUGGCGGUAGGCCUAACACAUGCAAGUCGAACGGCAGCACAGUAAGAGCUUGCUCUUACGGGUGGCGAGUGGCGGACGGGUGAGGAAUACAUCGGAAUCUACUUUUUCGUGGGGGAUAACGUAGGGAAACUUACGCUAAUACCGCAUACGACCUACGGGUGAAAGCAGGGGAUCUUCGGACCUUGCGCGAUUGAAUGAGCCGAUGUCGGAUUAGCUAGUUGGCGGGGUAAAGGCCCACCAAGGCGACGAUCCGUAGCUGGUCUGAGAGGAUGAUCAGCCACCCUGGAACUGAGACACGGACCAGACUCCUACGGGAGGCAGCAGUGGGGAAUAUUGGACAAUGGGCGAAAGCCUGAUCCAGCCAUACCGCGUGGGUGAAGAAGGCCUUCGGGUUGUAAAGCCCUUUUGUUGGGAAAGAAAAGCAGCAGGUUAAUACCCCGCUGUUCUGACGGUACCCAAAGAAUAAGCACCGGCUAACUUCGUG
rnacentral:rRNA from 1 species